rnacentral:rRNA from 1 species
AUGGACUACCAGCCGCUCAUCUCGGCCCUGGAUGCGCGCGUCAUGCCGGUGUCCCUCGAUGAGCUCUACUCCAUGUUGAGCAACUUCGACCAGCGCGUCGCCCAGUACCACAGUGUUGGCGGCGGCUUCAAGUCGUCGGCAAACGCAGCAACUCGUGGGUGCGGUGGCUACUCCUCACGUCAUCGCGGUCCUCCUCGCGCCAAGGGCAAGCACAACAGCGGCAACACCAACAACGACAGCUCUCGUGGCGGUCGCCCCAUCUCCACCAACAACAGGGGUCGCCGCGGCGGCUCGGGUCGUUCACGUCCUGAUGUCGUUCGCUGCCAAAUCUGCGGGAAGCCAGGCCACACCGCCAAAGACUGCUGGUAUCGUUUCGACGAACACGAUGCCUCCUCUGAAGAUGAUGACAAGGUUGCUGCUGCCGCUGAAGGAUCCUAUGGCGUCGACACCAACUGGUACCUUGACAGUGGCGCGACCAAUCACCUCACGGGUGAGCUAGAGAAGGUGAGUGGUGCAGGUAUGAGCAUACGUCACAUUGGUCACUCGGUUAUACAUACCCCUUCUCGUAAAAUUCAUCUUCGCAAAAUUUUGCAUGUUCCUAGUGCCAACAAAAAUCUCCUAUCCGUUCAUCGCAUUACCAUUGACAAUCAUGUAUUUCUUGAAUUCCAACCUUCUUCUUUUUGA